CGACUUUACUUGUGUAUUUUAAGCUUUUUUGUUGCUGUGCUUUUUCUGGAGAUUUUAGUUGGAUUGGAAAGCUCCUGUGUAAGGUACCCUUUCCUAAAGAAAAAUUGAAGUAAUUUGUACAAUUAUAACGCGCCGAGCUGUGUUUUAUUUUAUUGUUUCUAAGAAAAUGUAAGAAUACAAUAUUAUCAAUUUUAAUUGGUUUUAUCCAAAUCAAGAUUGUGUACAAUGGGAGUGAGUGAUGUAAUCUUCUAAUGCGUGUGGUGAAAAGAAGGCGAAUCCGUUAUUGUUUUUCUGCCCAAAUUUGAAGCUAUUUAAUAAAUCUUGAUAAAGUUAAAAAACUGUUUUGA